GAUGAAGAACGCAGCGAAAUGCGAUAAGUAAUGCGAUUUGCAGAAUUUCCGUGAGUCAUCGAAUCUUUGAACGCACAUUGCGCCCGCCAGUAUUCUGGCGGGCAUGCCUGUUCGAGCGUCAUUACAACCCUCAGGCCCCCGGGCCUGGCGUUGGGGAUCGGCGGAGCCCCCCGUGGGCACACGCCGUCCCCCAAAUGCAGUGGCGGUCCCGCCGCAGCUUCCAUCGCGUAGUAGCUAACACCUCGCGACUGGAGAGCGGCGCGGCCACGCCGUAAAACACCCAACUCUUCUGAAGUUGACCUCGAAUCAGGUAGGAAUACCCGCUGAACUUAAGCAUAUCAAUAAGCGGAGGA
rnacentral:misc_RNA from 1 species